CCUACGGGGGGCAGCAGUGGGGAAUAUUGGACAAUGGGGGGAACCCUGAUCCAGCGACGCCGCGUGAGUGAAGAAGUAUUUCGGUAUGUAAAGCUCUAUCAGCAGGGAAGAAAGAAAUGACGGUACCUGACUAAUAAGCCCCGGCUAACUACGUGACAGCAGCCGCUGUAAUACGUAGGGGGCAAGCGUUAUCCGGAUUUACUGGGUGUAAAGGGAGCGUAGACGGCGAUGCAAGUCUGAAGUGAAAGGCUGGGGCCCAACCCCCGGACUGCUUUGGAAACUGUAUGGUUGGAGUGCAGGGGAGGUAAGUGGAAUUCCUAGUGUAGCGGUGAAAUGCGUAGAUAUUAGGAGGAACACCAGUGGCGAAGGCGGCUUACUGGACUGUAACUGACGUUGAGGCUCGAAAGCGUGGGGAGCAAACAGGAUUAGAUACCCGUGUAGUC
rnacentral:rRNA from 1 species